rnacentral:rRNA from 1 species
AGAGUUUGAUCCUGGCUCAGGACGAACGCUGGCGGCGUGCUUAACACAUGCAAGUCGAACGGGGUUUAGUCGAAAGAUUACUUUUAACUAAACCUAGUGGCGGACGGGUGAGUAACGCGUGGAUAACCUGCCCACUAGACUGGGAUAACGCCGGGAAACCGGUGCUAAUACCGGAUACGUUCACCGGAUUGCAUAAUCUGGUGAAGAAAGGUGCAAACCGCUAAUGGAUGGGUCCGCGUCCCAUUAGCUAGUUGGUAGGGUAACGGCCUACCAAGGCCACGAUGGGUAGCCGGCCUGAGAGGGCGACCGGCCACACUGGAACUGAGACACGGUCCAGACUCCUACGGGAGGCAGCAGUGGGGAAUCUUCCGCAAUGGGCGCAAGCCUGACGGAGCAACGCCGCGUGAGUGACGAAGGUCUUCGGAUUGUAAAACUCUGUCCAUAGGGAAGAACCAACUGACGGUACCUUUGGAGGAAGCCCCGGCUAACUACGUGCCAGCAGCCGCGGUAACACGUAGGGGGCGAGCGUUGUCCGGAAUUACUGGGCGUAAAGGGCGUGUAGGCGGCCAAGUAAGUCAGUCGUGAAACCCAGCGGCUUAACCGCUGGCUUGCGAUAGAAACUGCCUGGCUUGAGUGCAGUAGAGGGGAGUGGAAUUCCCAGUGUAGCGGUGAAAUGCGUAGAUAUUGGGAGGAACACCAGUGGCGAAAGCGGCUCCCUGGCCUGCAACUGACGCUGAGGCGCGAAAGCGUGGGUAGCAAACAGGAUUAGAUACCCUGGUAGUCCACGCCGUAAACGAUGGGUGCUAGGUGUUGGGGGUAUCGACCCCCCCAGUGCCGCAGUUAACGCAUUAAGCACCCCGCCUGGA